CUUCAAUUAAUAUGCCCUAUAAUGGGGUCCUGAUAGGCAUGACCUAACCACAUUAUCGAACACACCCCAAACGUGAAUAAAAAACACCUCAAAAGCAAUUUCCAGUUACCCCUUCAGAUGAGCUGCCAUACCAACUCCUUAUAUUGCAACCAACCACCACUCCACCGGCGUAAUCGAACAAAAAAAGUAAAGGUAAAAAGAGAGAAUGUUCAGGCGGUGAUGGUGCUUACGACGUGGUUUUAAAAUCGCACAGCUGCCACUUCAGGCUGCAAUUCAAACUGCCAGAUCCCUUACAAUCUCCAUAUAUGGAUCCUUUUUUCAAACAACGCUCGAGACAAUCCAGUGCAGACUCACAAGAAGGAUCUUCAAUCACAUACCAGAACAUAUUAUACCUCCCAAAAAUCCAGAGAGAUAGAUGGUAAGAGAGAGAAGAUCGGAAAGAGAGAGGCAAUGAGGAUCGGUGAGAGAGGCAGUGAAGAUCGGAGAAAGAUUAGAAGAUCGAACGGGUGUUCCAUACAACAUCAGAUUCAGAUCUGGUUCAAGUGGUGGAGGUGACGGUGGUUCCUCCUGCCGGAAAACCACUUAGUAGCUACUUGGCGGUGGUGGUCCAUGAUCUAAAAGAUGAUCUGAAAUCCAAAAAGAGGAUCCAGUUCCAAGAUGCUACCAGAUCCAAAAGAUGCUCCAGAUCCGGUUGAAGAUGUUCGAUGUUGAAGAUGAUAUUCCAUAUAACGCCUAGCAACUGCCCUUUCAUUGGUUGGGUCAACCCACCGAUGUGCUUACGGUCAACUAGGAUCAUACCAGGUCUUUUGAGGAACAUCAACAAACUGCAAGCUGAACUGUUUACCCGUGAGCAAGAAAUUCGGAAGAAAAAGAGGGUUAUAUGGUUACUGAUAUUAGCGUUAGUGAUUGGCAGCUUACUUGUUAGCAUUGUUUGUUGUGAUUAAGAAAUAGGUGGCACUUAGUUGGAUUAUCCUUCUUAGUAUGUUAAUGACAUUUGUAGUAUGUACUUGUUGAUGUUUGGUUGAAUCUGAGAAUUUUCUGUGUUAUGGAUUUUUUGGUUUUGUU